GGGAGGGAGAGGAGAGGAGGGGGGGGGGAGGGGGGGAAUUAGUGGGAAAAUGAGGGAGGGAGAGGAGUGAAUGAGUAUGCUCCAUCCAAAUCCACCCCCCCCCCCUCUCCCUCUCCCUCCAGGGUGGCUGUCAAUAAUGUCUGAUCCCUGGCCAUGACCCCACUCUCUGAGGGUGACUCAGUAGGAAGUGAUCUCAGGUCACGACCCCACUCUCUGAGGGUGACUCGGUAGGAAGUGAUCCCUGGCCAUGACCCGACUCUCUGAGGGUGACUCAGUACGAAGUGAUCUCAGGUCACGACUCCACUCUCUGAGGGUGACUCGGUAGGAAGUGAUCUCAGGUCACGACUCCACUCUCUGAGGGUGACUCAGUAGGAAGUGAUCUCAGGUCACGACCCCACUCUCUGAGGGUGACUCGGUAGGAAGUGAUCUCAGGUCACGACUCCACUCUCUGAGGGUGACUCGGUAGGAAGUGAUCUCAGGUCACGACCCCACUCUGAGGGUGACUCAGUAGGAAGUGAUCCCUGGUCAUGACCCCACUCUCUGAGGGUGACUCGGUAGGAAGUGAUCCCUGGCCAUGACCCGACUCUCUGAGGGUGACUCGGUAGGAAGUGAUCUCAGGUCACGACCCCACUCUCUGAGGGUGACUCAGUAGGAAGUGAUCUCAGGUCACGACCCCACUCUCUGAGGGUGACUCGGUAGGAAGUGAUCCCUGGUCAUGACCCCACUCUCUGAGGGUGACUCGGUAGGAAGUGAUCCCUGGUCACGACCCCACUCUCUGAGGGUGACUCGGUAGGAAGUGAUCCCUGGUCAUGACCCCACUCUCUGAGGGUGACUCGGUAGGAAGUGAUCUCAGGUCACGACCCCACUCUCUGAGGGUGACUCAGUAGGAAGUGAUCUCAGGUCAUGACCCCACUCUCUGAGGGUGACUCGGUAGGAAGUGAUCCCUGGUCAUGACCCCACUCUCUGAGGGUGACUCGGUAGGAAGUGAUCCCUGGUCAUGACCCCACUCUCUGAGGGUGACUCGGUAGGAAGUGAUCCCUGGUCAUAAAUGCACCCCCUAUUUGACCCCGUCUCCUUACAUCGUCUCCUUACAUCGUCUC